rnacentral:rRNA from 1 species
AUUGAACGCUGGCGGCAUGCUUUACACAUGCAAGUCGAACGGCAGCGCGGGCUUCGGCCUGGCGGCGAGUGGCGAACGGGUGAGUAAUACAUCGGAACGUGCCCAGUAGCGGGGGAUAGCUCGGCGAAAGCCGGAUUAAUACCGCAUACGACCUGAGGGUGAAAGCGGGGGAUCUUCGGACCUCGCGCUAUUGGAGCGGCCGAUGGCAGAUUAGCUAGUUGGUGGGGUAAAGGCCUACCAAGGCGACGAUCUGUAGCUGGUCUGAGAGGACGACCAGCCACACUGGGACUGAGACACGGCCCAGACUCCUACGGGAGGCAGCAGUGGGGAAUUUUGGACAAUGGGCGAAAGCCUGAUCCAGCAAUGCCGCGUGUGUGAUGAAGGCCUUCGGGUUGUAAAGCACUUUUGGCGGGAACGAAAAGGACUGUGCCAAUACCACGAUUCGAUGACGGUACCCGCAGAAUAAGCACCGGCUAACUACGUG